GCGGUAGGAAGUCGUCAAGAACACAGUAUUAUUUUAUUUAGGGGGUUCACUCUAUACACGCAAAUUUCAUUAGUCUUCACUUCAAGGUUAAUCGACAAAAUUUGAGCAAAUUUUAUUAAAUAAUGCUUUUUACAGUUUUUUUUUUUACUUUACUACGGGCUCAUAGCAUCUUAAAUCUGAUCUUAUUGCUGUGUUCACAAUUAUAUUCUACGUAUUUCACCUGUAUCGGUUUGGACAAUUCC
rnacentral:lncRNA from 1 species